rnacentral:rRNA from 1 species
UACGGAGGGUGCAAGCGUUAAUCGGAAUUACUGGGCGUAAAGGGCACGCAGGUGGCUGAGAAAGUCGGGUGUGAAAGCCCCGGGCUUAACCUGGGAACAGCAUUCGAAACUACUUGGCUAGAGUAUGGGAGAGGGAAGCGGAAUUCCCGGUGUAGCGGUGAAAUGCGUAGAUAUCGGGAGGAACAUCAGUGGCGAAGGCGGCUUCCUGGCCCAAUACUGACACUCAUGUGCGAAAGCGUGGGGAGCAAACAGG